rnacentral:rRNA from 1 species
UACGUAGGGUGCAAGCGUUUGUCCGGAUUUACUGGGCGUAAAGCGCGCGUAGGCGGCUUGUUAAGUGUAGAGUGAAAGCUCCGGGCUCAACCCGGAAAUUGCUCUGCAUACUGGCAGGCUGGAGGGACGCAGAGGUCUGUGGAAUUCCUGGUGUAACGGUGAAAUGUGUUGAUAUCAGGAGGAACACCCAUGGCGAAGGCAGCAGACUGGGCGUUUUCCUGACGCUGAGGCGCGAAAGCGUGGGUAGCAAACAGG